rnacentral:rRNA from 1 species
UUUGGUGGUCAUAGCGCGAGCAAAACACCCGAUCCCAUUCCGAACUCGGUCGUUAAGUGCCGUAGCGCCGAUGGUACUGCGUCUCAAGACGUGGGAGAGUAGGUCGCCGCCAAAC